CUUCCUUCCCGUAUUGCGGGACGAGAAAUAAAGGCCUCGCAGACACACUUCGAUCUGCUGUCAGAUUUUCUAUUGAAGUCGGGGCAGCUUCCUGAAGUAAGAAAAAUAAGAGAGAACUAGCAUUCUAAGAAAAAAUACCAGAAUGACACAUUUCAAAACCCACUUGCAUCAUUGAUGUUAAGACUGAUAAGGGCAUACGUGUCCUCUGACUGGAUGCCAGAGAUUGGAAC